rnacentral:rRNA from 1 species
UGACUGUAGGUGAAAGCUUACAUCUCUUCGGAGCAUUUUACGAGGUGCUGCAUGGUUGUCGUCAGCUCGUGCCGUGAGGUGUCGGGUUAAGUCCCAUAACGAGCGCAACCCUACCUUUAGUUGCCAUCAGGUAAUGCUGGGGACUCUAAAGGAACUGCCUACGCAAGUAGUGAGGAAGGCGGGGAGUGACGUCAAAUCAGCACGGCCCUUACGUCCAGGGCUACACACGUGCUACAAUGGCCGAUACAGAGGGCAGCUACCUGGUGACAGGAUGCAAAUCUCCAAAGUCGGUCUCAGUUCGGAUCGGAGUCUGCAACCCGACUCCGUGAAGUUGGAUUCGCUAGUAAUCGCGCAUCAGCCAUGGCGCGGUGAAUACGUUCCCGGGCCUU